rnacentral:rRNA from 1 species
UGGGGAAUAUUGCACAAUGGGCGCAAGCCUGAUGCAGCCAUGCCGCGUGUAUGAAGAAGGCCUUCGGGUUGUAAAGUACUUUCAGCGGGGAGGAAGGGAGUAAAGUUAAUACCUUUGCUCAUUGACGUUACCCGCAGAGGAAGCACCGGCUAACUCCGUGCCAGCAGCCGCGGUAAUACGGAGGGUGCAAGCGUUAAUCGGAAUUACUGGGCGUAAAGCGCACGCAGGCGGUUUGUUAAGUCAGAUGUGACAUCCCCGGGCUAAACCUGGGAACUGCAUCUGAUACUGGCAAGCUUGAGUCUCGUAGAGGGGGGUAGAAUUCCAGGUGUAGCGAUGAAAUGCGUAGAGAUCUGGAGGAAUACCGGUGGCGAAGGCGGCCCCCUGGACGAAGACUGACGCUCAGGUGCGAAAGCGUGGGGAGCAAACAGG